rnacentral:rRNA from 1 species
CGCGGGGCAACCUGGCGGCGAGUGGCGAACGGGUGAGUWWUAUAUCGGAACGURCCCUGGAGUGGGGGAUAACGUAGCGAAAGUUACGCUAAUACCGCAUACGAUCUAAGGAUGAAAGUGGGGGCUUCGCAAGAACCUCAUGCUCCUGGAGCGGCCGAUAUCUGAUUAGCUAGUUGGUAGGGUAAAAGCCUACCAAGGCUUCGAUCAGUAGCUGGUCUGAGAGGACGACCAGCCACACUGGAACUGAGACACGGUCCAGACUCCUACGGGAGGCAGCAGUGGGGAAUUUUGGACAAUGGGCGCAAGCCUGAUCCAGCAAUGCCGCGUGAGUGAAGAAGGCCUUCGGGUUGUAAAGCUCUUUUGUCAGGGAAGAAACGGUGAGGGCUAAUAUCCCUUGCUAAUGACGGUACCUGAAGAAUAAGCACCGGCUAACUACGUGCCAGCAGCCGCGGUAAUACGUAGGGUGCAAGCGUUAAUCGGAAUUACUGGGCGUAAAGCGUGCGCAGGCGGUUUUGUAAGUUUGUCGUGAAAGCCCCGGGCUCAACCUGGGAAUUGCGAUGAAGACUGCAAGGCUUGAAUCUGGCAGAGGGGGGUAGAAUUCCACGUGUAGCAGUGAAAUGCGUAGAGAUGUGGAGGAACACCGAUGGCGAAGGCAGCCCCCUGGGUCAAGAUUGACGCUCAUGCACGAAAGCGUGGGGAGCAA